UAUUUUGUGAUGAAAUCGUUAGAUAGGAUAGACAGACUUCUGAUGUCUGUGACUGAUUUAUCUCGAUAGUAGAUCUGAUUUU